UUUGUGCUCCUGUAAAACCAGAAAAGCAAAAAAAUUUAAUACACAUAGAAAUAUUGAAAUCAGAAAGUUGUCAGAGUUCCUGCACAUGACAGCAGGAGGAGAUACAGACAUUAACAAAUAUCAAGUAAUCACUGAGGUCUCUGCCAAACAGCUAAAACAUUAAGUUUUUAUGUCCAGAGAAACAGCAGAGGUUUUAUUUCUCCAAAAUGUUGCAAGCUCAACAUCAAGCCAACAUUAAAAACUAGCAUCAUAAACACGAAACAUGG